rnacentral:lncRNA from 1 species
AAGUAUGAAAGUUUGUUGUAUUUUUAACACGAUUCUAUUAAAUUUAAAAAGUUUUAGAAAAAGCCUGAAUACAAAUCAUGGAGAGGCUGAUAGAACCACAGUUCCUGAUGCAAUAAUACGAAAUCUCAAAGAGCAACUUGCAACAGUUUUUGCCAAUUACUCGUUGGCGUGCGUCAGACGAAGUCUUAAUCAGAGCGGCCUAGAUAGGAAGAAAAAACGAAAGUAAUCAGCAAUGCAAUUAUGGUUCUGUAAUAAUGAUAAUAUGUGAAAAGUUUCUUUU